AGAGUUUGAUCCUGGCUCAGGAUGAACGCUGGCGGCGUGCUUAACACAUGCAAGUCGAACGGGAAACAUUUCAUUGAGGCUUCGGCGGAUUUGAUCUGUUUCUAGUGGCGGACGGGUGAGUAACGCGUGGGUAACCUGCCUUAUACUGGGGGAUAACAGCCAGAAAUGACUGCUAAUACCGCAUAAGCGCACAGAACCGCAUGGUUCGGUGUGAAAAACUCCGGUGGUAUAAGAUGGACCCGCGUCUGAUUAGCUGGUUGGUGAGGUAACGGCCCACCAAGGCGACGAUCAGUAGCCGGACUGAGAGGUUGACCGGCCACAUUGGGACUGAGAUACGGCCCAG
rnacentral:rRNA from 1 species